UAUUUAAGUAGUUUAUUUAAAAUACUGAUUUGUGGAAUCAGUGAAGUGAUUAUCAUCUUAAAUAA
rnacentral:tRNA from 1 species